UUGAGCAGUCCCUUCAAGAGGUAACGGAGAGAUACGAAAAGGAAAAGCAUAAGAGGAGAGCGCUACAUAACAGUUUAGUUGAAUUAAGAGGAAAUAUCAGAGUCCACUGCCGGAUCCGACCAUUACUACCUUUUGAUACUGCUGCUGGACAUACAGUACCACAAGAUAGGCAAAGAAACUUUUCAGAAAAAGUGGCAUAUGCAGCUGAUGAUGAAACUGUCCUUGUAAAAUGUAACCGUCCUGGUCAUGCAUCAAUAAACAAGAGUUUUCAGUUUGAGAGAGUUUACAGUGCUUCUGAAUCUCAAGACACAGUGUUUGCAGAUGUGGCCCCUUUGCUAACUUCUCUUCUGGAUGGGUA